GUAUGUAAAACUACAUAAGACCAUUCUAACCAAAAAUAUAAUUUACCGGAAAAAUACCUCGGAAAAUUCUAAAUAAAUGAAGCCCGCGGACAAUGCAUAUUUGAAUUGUACCGUAGUUAAGUUGGAGGUACCCUGGCGGUGGUCCAGUUUAGAGAAAAUGACGCGUGGAACUGGGCGGUGAGCUCCUCUGUCAUGGACAAAGGCAAGGCAAGGCAACUUUAUUCAUAUAGCCCUUCUUAUACACGAGGCAGAAUCAAAGUGCUUCACAUAAAAACAUUGUCAUACAAUAACAUGAAAUUAAAUAAAAUGGAUCAAUAAAAGAAAACAAAGGCAAACUAAAUAAAAGCAAACAUAUAAGUCUUCAGUCCUGUUUUUAAAAGUGGUCAGAGUUGGGGCAAGUAAAUCCUCAGGGAGGUUUUCAUUUUAGUACCAUCUCGGUUUUGUCCUCAUUUAGUGGAAGGAAAUUUUGAGAAAGUCUUUGACUUUCUCAAUGCACUGGCACAGCAGAUAUAGGCCUAUGGGCCGAUAGUCAUUUGGUGAUAGCGCUACAUAGAUUUGCGAACAAAGGGUAGCCUAUUUGUGUCUUUUGUGAUUAUGGCCUAGUUACUGCUCUCAGGUCAAGGUCCACGCCGAGAGAUGUGAUAACCGUUGCCAUCGCUGUGGUUGGACUUUUGACCACGUCAAUCGUUUCAGAUUAAACUUUUUAACAUAGGACCGAUCAGAAAUGUUACGCAUGCUACGAAAAUACAAAAGACCAUUAAAAUGACAUAAACAAUCGCAAUCUCAUUAUAUUCAGACAACGACCAUGAACCAGAUUUAGAUUCAACCUGAACUGCUAGAUUAAGAGCUGCUGUUAAUGUUAGAUCAUUAUUUUCCAGUAACAGCCUUUGCCUAAUUAAUUCAUUUUUUGUGUGCAGUAUCAGUUGGUCCCUUAUCAUUUCGUCCUGUAACGCCCCGUACUUGCACAUGGUAGCCAGCAUCCCUAAUUCAGCCGCGAACCUCUCCACUGACUCCCAUGGACGUUGGCGCCUGCGUCGGAAUAUGACGCGACGGAGCAGAACACCUUUAGGAGCGGGGUAAUGUGCUUUCAUGAGCUCCACGGCCUUUGCGAAAGUAGGCGCGGGGCCAAGAGUUCCCAACACGCGCUGUCCCUCCGCUCCCAGACAGUGCAGCAGCAGUGCACGGUACCUCCACUCCGGAACAGUGUCCAGGCCGGCAGCGGUGAUAAACGUUUGGAACAAGGAUGGAGGCAACUGUUAGGGUGAAAUAUAAGGACAGAAAGAAGUACUUCUUCCUAACAUCACCUUUUCAAUUCGAAGUAUUUUUGGAAAGUGAUUCCUUCAGUUCUAGUACGAUUGGCGAUGGUGAGGCUUCCUUCAGUUCUGGUACAAUUGGCGAUGGAGAGCCUUCAUCAGGAUCUGAUGACACAGCAAUAGUGAUCAGAAAUCCCUCAGAAAAAAGACAUGAAGAGGACCGUCGUCUGGGUCGAAUGAUUGAGGACAUCCUCAAGAGUAGCCCUGGAGCACAAGCCCCCCUAGGAGAUUGAAGGAGGAAUACGCCAAAGGAAUCAUCUGCCUUUUUCCUUACUUGGCUGACCCCCGGAGCAAGCUUGGCUAUGAACAUUUUUAUAAUGCUGAAGAUGGAAGUGGGUAUUUGGCUUGGAGAAUCAAAACUCUGCAGAAAGAGGUGUCCGAGGGGCGAAUGAAACGGUCACGACAACUUCAAACAGGCCAGUGAUUAAUUUGGAACUUGACCACUCGUUUAUUUGGUCUAGGUUUUCUUUUGAGUAUUAAACUGGCAUGUUGUCCCAAACCUUUAGGUGAGCCAACUUCACACAGGGAUCCAUUGAAAGAAGACAUCCAAUGGGACGAACAGCAGUGUCAAGAAGCAAUUGCCCUGAUGAAGCAUUCUACGGAUGAAGUUGUAGUGAAGGAGAAAAUGAGGCUAACCCUGGCCUAUCGUCAGAAGUUGCUGCACGAUCCUGAGAACUCAGCCGACAUCCUAUCUGUUUUUCCUCGUUUCUUGGACAUUCCAGGUUUGAUUGUUCAAGAUUUCAGGAGUCUUUUUGGUGACGCAACCUCUGCAAAGAUGUUGGAAAAGUGGACCACCAACUUUCAAGCAAAGGUUGUAACUCAGUGUCGUGGGCUUACACUGACUGGAGAUGUACAAGACCUCAUCCAAAAUGCUGAAGCCACUGAAGCUGGGACAGUGACAUGUCAUCAAUGCUGUUGCUGGUUCACCUUCUGCCACCUUCAAGCCAAGGCGGAAAAAAAACCAGGGAAAAUCUCAGCCAGACAAGCAUGCGACAGUCUUGUAAAAUUCAUCAAGAUUGGGACCAGCAUCCAAGGACACCUGGACAACAUCUCUGGGAGUCUCCAGCCAUACCUACUUGCUGUUGGUGCCAAGAAGAGCAUGAUCGAGUCUUACUACAUCGUGAUCGACAAACAUGCUCUACCCUGUAAGACCUCAACUUCAUUGGCUUGUGUUGAUGAACUUUUCAAAGCACAUUUCGUCUUUGGCACAAGAUACUGUCAGGAAUUGACCAAUGUGUACACCUUUCUGCAAACCACUGUCUAUGACAUAGAUGUGGAAAACACCAAGGUAAAUCCUAGAGUUGCAGAGUUGAGGGCCAGGAUGCUGAAGUAAACUCCUAUGAUCUGCUUCAUUUGUCUUUGUCCCGGAAAAACUCUCAGGUUAAAAUGUGCUCAAAGGGGUUGUGCACAUGUAUAUAAUAGUUUUUCUGGAUUACGAAAGCAUCUCACUAAGUGUUCUUUGCGUGACAGUUCAAGUGUUAAUGAAAGUUCAUCUUCAGCAUAGGAGUGGAGAAUGAGAUGCCUGUGUUUCAUGUAGUCCAGAAUAUUGUUGUAAGAGAUUAGUGUUCUUUUUAUAACGACUGCUAUGAAAACUCUUUAUUUAGAGGAACAUGUCCAUGCUUUCAAGGUUAUGCACACCACAGAAGCACCCAUUGUUUUGGAAUUUAAAGACCUUUUGCACCACAAGUCUUCUGAUUUUUUUUAUGUGG
ensembl:lncRNA